rnacentral:rRNA from 1 species
GACAGAGGGGGCAAGCGUUGCUCGGAAUUACUGGGCGUAAAGCGCACGUAGGCGGAUUGUUAAGUUAGGGGUGAAAUCCCGGGGCUCAACCCCGGAACUGCCUUUAAUACUGGCAAUCUCGAGUCCGAGAGAGGUGAGUGGAAUUCCGAGUGUAGAGGUGAAAUUCGUAGAUAUUCGGAGGAACACCAGUGGCGAAGGCGGCUCACUGGCUCGGUACUGACGCUGAGGUGCGAAAGCGUGGGGAGCAAACAGG